rnacentral:tRNA from 1 species
GCAGUGGCUCAACCAAUAGAGCACACACUUGGCAAGCCUGUGGCCCCAGGUUCAGUUCCUGGCACUGCA